rnacentral:misc_RNA from 1 species
GAAAUGCGAUAAGUAAUGUGAAUUGCAGAAUUCAGUGAAUCAUCGAAUCUUUGAACGCACAUUGCGCCCCGUGGUAUUCCGCGGGGCAUGCCUGUUCGAGCGUCAUUUCACCACUCAAGCCUCGCUUGGUAUUGGGCGACGCGGUCCGCCGCGCGCCUCAAAUCGACCGGCUGGGUCGAUCGCACCCUCAGCGUUGUGGAAACUAUUCGCUAAAGGGACCCGCGGUCGUUCACGCCGUGAAACAAACCAACUUUUUCAAUGGUUGACCUCGGAUCAGGUAGGGAUACCCGCUGAACUUAAGC